rnacentral:rRNA from 1 species
GGGGUAUCUAAUCCCAUUUGCUACCCUAGCUUUCGUCUCUGAGUGUCAGUAAUAGCCCAGUAAAGUGCCUUCGCCAUCGGUGUUCUUUCCAAUCUCUACGCAUUUCACCGCUCCACUGGAAAUUCCCUUUACCCCUACUAUACUCUAGUCUAAUAGUUUCGACUGCGAUUUUGAGGUUGAGCCUCAAGAUUUAACAGUUGACUUAUUAAACCACCUACAGACGCUUUACGCCCAGUGAUUCCGGAUAACACUUGCAUCCUCCGUAUUACCGCGGCUGCUGGCACGGAGUUAGCCGAUGCUUAUUCUUCAGGUAACGUCAUUUAUUCCUCCCUGAAAAAAGAGGUUUACAACCCAUAGGCAGUCAUCCCUCACGCGAGAUUGCUCCGUCAGGCUUUCGCCCAUUGCGGAAGAUUCCCCACUGCUGCCUCCCGUAGGAGUCUGGACCGUGUCUCAGUUCCAGUGUGUCUGAUCGUCCUCUCAAACCAGAUACUGAUCGUCGCCUUGGUGAGCCAUUACCUCACCAACAAGCUAAUCAGCCGCAAGCUUCUCUCUAGGCGGAUAUAAUCCAUUUCACUCGAAAGCAUAUGGGGUAUUAGCAACCGUUUCCAGUUGUUGUCCCCCUCCUAAAGGCAAAUUCUUACGUGUUACUCACCCGUCCGCCACUUGAAUCAAAGAUUCUCGUAUGACUUGCAUGUGUAAAGCAUCUCGCUAGCGUUCAUCCUGAGCCAGGAUCAAACUCU